GGAUUGUGGCUCAGUGGUAGAGUGCUCGCCUAGCAUGCAUGAGGCCCUGGGUUUGAACCUCAGCACCA
rnacentral:tRNA from 1 species